GGAAUUGGCACCGCCACUUCAGCACUGUUUCUUAUUUAAAAUGUGCACACCUUCAGAUCAGCAGGGCCCCCACUUGAUGUCCUGACCCAGAGAGCACAGGCACAUGGGCACACACAGACAGGUGUGUUUCCAAAGACUUAGGAGGACACCCAGGCACUUCCACUGAGGACAUACAAACCACAAGGACGUGAAGCUACACAAAUCUGUAAUCCCACCCACCUCCCCGGAAGGGGGAAGUCAGCAGCAGAUCAGGAGAUCAAGAACAGCCUUGGCUACUUGUGACCAUGCCUCAAACCCAACAACAACAACACAGUAGUGUGCUGAGGAUAGAAACAGCCCAAAUGUCUAUCUGUGGUAGGUGGGUGGAUGUAUGUUCUGCUUUUGGGUGGCUACAACUGCUGUUACCCCAGGCCGGCUGGGGCGGAGGGGGGCAGAGCUGCUGUACUGGAGUAGAGCUGUCUGGGGUGAUGGAGACGCUUCUGGGCUGGGUGGUGGGAAUGGCUGUCCAGCAGUUCAAAUGUACUCCAUGGCGAUCAACUCUACACAUAAUGAACCUUUCAAUGCUAAACUUCAUGUGUGUCCCAUCACCAUUUUUUUAAAAGGUGAAUUUCUCAACACUGAUACAAAAAGAUCUGGGAAGCAUGGUGUGGAAUGGGAGACAGCUCAGAUGUAAAUGCUCUCCUGCCUCUAGGUACCCAGGAAUGUCUAGGUGCAAGGGGUGCUUGUCUGAGGAGGAAUCUGGCUUGAGGAUGGUGCCGGAAGAGCAGUGUUCUAGUCCUCAGGAGGGGGUGUGUUCUUAUCUGAAGAUGACACUUAAAAUUCCUAAUCCUGUUUAGAACGUCUCCAGAAAGAAAACGCAGUCUCACUGGCCACCUCCACCGGGAUGCUCCGGGGCUGAUGUGUGAGACUUCAUGUUCCUCACACUUCUGCUCCCUAUGAAGUUUGAACUAGGAGGUAUUAUUAGCUAUAAAUCAAAAUUUAUAGUUGAAGAAUUGUUACUAGAUUGAUAUGAAAUUUACCACAACUGACUUUUGUUCUUCGUAGUUUCCAUAAUUUAUUCCUUUUCUCCCUUUAAAAAGAAAAAAAAAUCUUCCUC
rnacentral:lncRNA from 1 species